UAAAGAACCUGCCUCAUAGACUGGGACAACUAUUGGAAACGAUAGCUAAUACCGGAUAACAGCAUUAACUGCAUGGUUGAUGUUUAAAAGUUGGUUUUGCUAACACUAUGAGAUGGCUUUGCGGUGCAUUAGCUAGUUGGUGGGGUAAAGGCCUACCAAGGCGACGAUGCAUAGCCGACCUGAGAAGGUGAUCGGCCACACUGGGACUGAGACACGGCCCAG
rnacentral:rRNA from 1 species